rnacentral:rRNA from 1 species
GAUGAACGCUGGCGGCGUGCCUAAUACAUGCAAGUCGAGCGAACAGACGAGGAGCUUGCUCCUCUGACGUUAGCGGCGGACGGGUGAGUAACACGUGGAUAACCUACCUAUAAGACUGGGAUAACUUCGGGAAACCGGAGCUAAUACCGGAUAAUAUAUUGAACCGCAUGGUUCAAUAGUGAAAGACGGUUUUGCUGUCACUUAUAGAUGGAUCCGCGCCGCAUUAGCUAGUUGGUAAGGUAACGGCUUACCAAGGCAACGAUGCGUAGCCGACCUGAGAGGGUAAUCGGCCACACUGGAACUGAGACACGGUCCAGACUCCUACGGGAGGCAGCAGUAGGGAAUCUUCCGCAAUGGGCGAAAGCCUGACGGAGCAACGCCGCGUGAAUGAUGAAGGUCUUCGGAUCGUAAAACUCUGUUAUUAGGGAAGAACAAAUGUGUAAGUAACUAUGCACGUCUUGACGGUACCUAAUCAGAAAGCCACGGCUAACUACGUG